GACAGAGGGUGCAAACGUUGCUCGGAAUUACUGGGCGUAAAGCGCGUGUAGGCUGACCGGAAAGUCGGGCGUGAAAGCCCUGUGCUCAACCCAGGAACUGCACUCGAAACUCCCGGUCUAGAGUGGUGGAGAGGGAAGUGGAAUUCCUGGUGUAGAGGUGAAAUUCGUAGAUAUCAGGAGGAACACCAGUGGCGAAGGCGGCUUCCUGGACACCAACUGACGCUGAGGAGCGAAAGCGUGGGGAGCGAACAGG
rnacentral:rRNA from 1 species